rnacentral:tRNA from 1 species
GGCUCAGUAGUUCAACUGGAUAGAAUAUCAGAUUUCGGCUCUGAGGGUUGGGGGUUCGAAUCCUCCCUGGGUCACCA